UCGAGAAUCUUCCGCAAUGGACGAAAGUCUGACGGAGCGACGCCGCGUGCGGGAUGAAGGCCCUUGGGUUGUAAACCGCUGUCAGAGGGGAUGAAAUCUUCGGAGGUACUCCUCCGAAGUUGACAGAGCCUCAAAGGAAGCACGGGCUAAGUACGUGCCAGCAGCCGCGGUAACACGUACUGUGCGAACGUUAUUCGGAAUCACUGGGCUUAAAGGGUGCGUAGGCGGCGAUUCAAGUCAGAUGUGAAAUGCCUGAGCUCAACUGAGGCAUUGCGUUUGAAACUGAACCGCUAGAGUAUUUCAGGGGUGUGCGGAACUGCCAGUGGAACGGUGAAAUGUGUUGAUAUUGGCAGGAACACCGGAGGCGAAAGCGGCACACUGGGGAAUUACUGACGCUGAGGCACGAAAGCCAAGGGAGCGAACG
rnacentral:rRNA from 1 species